GGCGUCUUUGGGGGCAGCAGCGCCCUCUCUGUGGAGCCAAGCUGAGGGUGGGGGCCCCAGUGGGGGCCAGUAGCUUUCUUCACUGACUGAGCUCAGUAGCACCUCCGCCAGCUUCUGUGCUGCAGACUGAACACAGUUCAUUGACUUCUGUUUGAAGACCACUCACCUUCCUGAAGCCCUGAGACCCCCGUGACUCCACCACCCUGAGCACCCUACGAAGCUGCUCCUGCAGGAAGGAGAGGGCGGCGUCACAGGCCCGGAGGUAACAGGACAGACUCUCCUCCUCCCUCUCCGACAGACGAACCCUGGACACGGCAGAAACUGUCUGAUGGUCCAGAGACAGACCUGAGGAGACACAGAGGAGUCCACAUGACCACCACAACCACCACCUGCUGACACUGGACCUGGAGAGUCAGUGGACCGAUAGCAGACAGGACUACAGAGGAGACAGUUAGUGCUGUUCCUGAUGUCGGCUCCAAACCUGGGUCUGUGACGGACCACAGACCCCAACGAUAAUCCAAUCAACAGCAAACGACUGUGAGGCAGAACUUCAUCCUCCAAAUAUUCACAGCAGACAUCACUUCCCACAGUGAGAGACAGGCCUGGGAAGAACUUCACUGAUCCCACAGGACCUGAUGGGUUCACUCCUCACAGACGUCCAGUCCCACAGCUGUGAACCCACAACAUUCAGAAGGAGAAUCAAAGGCUGACAGUAAUUAAAAUGGAAUUCUCCUGGGUUCAUGAGUCUGACGUCACGUCCCAUCAUCAGGAAAUGAGCAGCGCUAAUGACAUGACGCUAAUGAUGAGCUAAACCAGAUUCUCCAGCGCUCUCGGAGUCCAGGUCACACACGCCACAAUGCUAACUUUUAGCCAUUUCUCAGCUACAUUUUAUUUAACUAAAGAAAAAAAUCGUUUUCAUUGUGUGAACUCUGACUGUAUUUGAGCAAAGUCAAGAGGUUGAUGUUCCAGUGACGUCAAGUCAGUGUCACCACAGGCCACAGUUAAACAGAGGACACUGUCUCUUUAAGCUGAUGUUCUCCAUCUGGGUUCCAUUUAUCUCCAUAGAAGUCCGUUUCAGUUCUGGGCCUCAUGAAACUCAUGAACGCACGACGUCGUUGUGAUCCAGGUUUGUGAAAAUCUCCUCACAGUCGUUCACGAUGGAACAGAGUGGAAUUAAAAUACAUUUAGAUUUCACGUGCAUCAGUAUUCAGU